CUGGCUCAGGACGAACGCUGGCGGCGUGCUUAACACAUGCAAGUCGAACGGAGGUAUUUGAAACUUAGUGAUAGAUAACCUUAGUGGCGGACGGGUGAGUAACGCGUGGAUAACCUGCCUACAUGCCUGGGACAACACCGGGAAACUGGUGCUAAUACCGGAUACGCUCUUGUAUGCACAUGCAUAUAAGAGGAAAGGAGCAAUCCGCAUAUAGAUGGGUCCGCGUCCCAUUAGCUAGUUGGAGGUGUAAGACGACCCCAAGGCGACGAUGGGUAGCCGGCCUGAGAGGGUGGACGGCCACACUGGAACUGAGACACGGUCCAGACUCCGUACGGGAGGCAGCAGGUGGGGAAUCUUCCGCAAGUGGGCGAAAACGCCUGACGGAGCAACGCCGCGUGAGUAGAAGAAGGUCCGUUCGGGUACGUAAACUCUGUCUUCGAGGGAAGAAAAAAUGACGGUACCUGAGGAGGAAGCCCCGGCUAACUACGUGCCAGCCGCCGC
rnacentral:rRNA from 1 species